rnacentral:sRNA from 1 species
UUUCGUAGUCAGAGGCCAAUUGAUGCAGA